rnacentral:rRNA from 1 species
UACGUAGGGGCAAGCGUUGUCCGGAUUUAUUGGGCGUAAAGAGCGUGUAGGCGGCUUUACAGGUCCGUUGUGAAAACUCGAGGCUCAACCUCGAGACGCCGGUGGAAACCGUAAGGCUAGAGUCCGGAAGAGGAGAGUGGAAUUCCUGGUGUCGGCGGUGAAAUGCGCAGAUAUCAGGAGGAACACCUAUUGCGAAGGCAGCUCGCUGGGACGUAACUGACGCUGAGACGCGAAAGCGUGGGGAGCAAACAGG